rnacentral:rRNA from 1 species
GUGGGGAAUAUUGGGCAAUGGGGGCAACCCUGACCCAGCGACGCCGCGUGAGGGAAGAAGGCCUUAGGGUCGUAAACCUCUGUUGUGUGGGAAGAAGGAAGUGACGGUACCACACGAGGAAGUCCCGGCUAACUACGUGCCAGCAGCCGCGGUAAUACGUAGGGGACGAGCGUUGUCCGGAAUUACUGGGCGUAAAGGGCGCGUAGGCGGUCAUUUAAGUCAGCUGUGAAAUGGUCCGGCUCAACCGGAUCAUGCGGUUGGAACUGGAUGACUGGAGUGCUGGAGAGGCAAGUGGAAUUCCCAGUGUAGCGGUGAAAUGCGUAGAUAUUGGGAAGAACACCGGUGGCGAAGGCGACUUGCUGGCCAGCAACUGACGCUGAGGCGCGAAAGCCAGGGGAGCGAACGGGAUUAGAUACCCCAGUAGUCC